rnacentral:rRNA from 1 species
CAGCAGCCACGGGAAUACGUAGGGCGCAAGCGUUAUCCGGAAUUAUUGGGCGUAAAGAGCUCGUAGGCGGUUUGUCGCGUCUGCCGUGAAAGUCCGGGGCUCAACCCCGGAUCUGCGGUGGGUACGGGCAGACUAGAGUGAUGUAGGGGAGACUGGAAUUCCUGGUGUAGCGGUGAAAUGCGCAGAUAUCAGGAGGAACACCGAUGGCGAAGGCAGGUCUCUGGGCAUUAACUGACGCUGAGGAGCGAAAGCAUGGGGAGCGAACAGGAUUAGAUACCCCAGUAGUCCCUGUCUCUUAUAA